UACGAAUGGGGCGAGCGUUGUUCGGAAUCACUGGGCGUAAAGCGUACGUAGGCGGAUAUGAAAGUCAGAAGUGAAAGCCCUGGGCUCAACCCGGGAACUGCUUUUGAAACUUCAUAUCUAGAGUUCUGGAGAGGUAAGGGGAAUUCCGAGUGUAGAGGUGAAAUUCGCAGAUAUUCGGAGGAACACCAGAGGCGUAGGCGCCUUACUGGACAGAUACUGACGCUGAGGUACGAAAGCGUGGGGAGCAAACAGGAUUAGAUACCCGUGUAGUCC
rnacentral:rRNA from 1 species